UUUCUUGCAUAUAAUUGACUACUUAAAAUACUCAAUAAAUCUUUCUGAUGCUUGAAGCAUGAUUUUUGGCUUGCUUUAAGGCAAUACGAUUUGUUUAAAUUGAUUUGGUUGUUGCUUGAUUCAUUAAAUUAAUAUUAUUGCCAUAAUCGUCUCUUACCACAUCUUUGAUUUGUCUGUAUGGUAAAAUUAUGAAAUCUAUAUUGUUUGAGCUGUAAAAAAUUCUCGUCUGUUUGUGAUGUGAUUCUAAAUGGAAAGUUUGUUAAUUGACUCCCUUCCCUUAGUUUAAAUUAGGACAGAUUCUUACAUGUUUAGUUUAUGGUAAACUUUUUAAUUUUGAAAAAGGGAAUUUGGUUGAUUAGUUUUACCUUAUUUAAAAUCAAGUAGAUUUCGUAUUUGGUUGUAAUUGGUAAAAAAUAUAAAGUA
rnacentral:lncRNA from 1 species